GGGACAGCAGAGCGCGUGCGCGGCGCGGGGCCGCCUCAGGUGUGCGGGGCGGGGCCGGCACAGGUGCGAGGGGGGGGGACCGAGGCCACUUAAACACCGGAAGGGCGGCGGCCGCCAUUUUCUCCGGGAGGAGCCGGCUGCGGCCGCUCCGGUGAGGCGCUUCUCUCUUUUCUGCUUUUAUCUCUCCUUUCUGCUUUUAUCUCUCCAUUCUGCUUUUAUAUCUCCUUUCUGCUUUUAUCUCUCCUUUCUCAGCUUCUCUCCCCUCUCUCCUUCUCUGUUUUUCUCUCUCCUCUCUGCUUUUAUCUCUCCUUUCUGUUUUUCUCUCCUCUCCUUCUCUCUCCCGUCUCCUUCUCUCCCCUCUCUGCUGUUCUCCCCCGUCUCCCCUCGCACCGCCCGCCCCCCCCUGCCCCCGCCUCUGUUCCUGCUCUGUUCCCUCGCACCGCCCGCCCCCCCCUGCCCCCGCCUCUGUUCCUGCUCUGUUCCCUUACAAACCCUGACUCCUGUCUCUGUUCUUCCUUCUCCUUCUCCCUCCAUCCUCCCGCCCGUCCCGACCCUGCAGCCUCCCGUUAUCCUCGCCUGUGCCCGCUCUUAC
rnacentral:lncRNA from 1 species